rnacentral:lncRNA from 1 species
UGUGUGGAGUAACAGCUGUACAAGUUCUGUUGUCUAGAGACAGAUAAAGAAUUGGACUGGACCAGGCAAGUGAGGGUGAAAAGGGAGAGAAAAAUCAAUGGCCUUAACCUUCAUUUUAUCAAGAUUUUGUAGUAUAUCCCAUCUUUAUUUAGAGAGAUGAUUCAGAUAUUCCUGCACAUUUUUUUCUCACAAUUUCAUUUCCUCUUUGUAUAUUCUUAGGUGAAAAAAACAAACAGAGAAAUCUCACCGAGAGCCAAAGAAACCUGGACUGGUACCAGGAAAUAUCUGGAAACAUGAAAAAAAAAGUCUGUUUUUCUAGUAAUGUUCUUUCUCUGGGCAGUACUUUUGUGUGCCACUAGAUGUCCUGGCAGCAUCAGCCCUUGCACUGCAGCGCAGCUUGAAAAAAACCCACGGACCUGCAAACAUCGCAUCAUUUAUUCUAGGAAACUCCGUGUAUCAUGGAGAAUUGUCGAGGUUGGAUGGAAGGUAUCAGCAGUGUCAGAAAAUCACGAUGGAGGAGCAGCCUGCAGGCACAGCUCAGCACAGAAUGAGCCAGAUUGCCAUUUCAUGGGUACAGCCAAGCAUCAGUGGAAGAAGUGCAUUAAUGUAGGGGAGAUAAUGCUUCUUGUAGCAGCUGGUCAAUUUUUAUCUUCUCACAUCAAAAGCAUCCCCACCCUUUAUGAGCAGAAGCCUUUUACCUCAGGUGAAUUAAUAUGCUUCCCUUUUUCAUCCCCCCACGAAAAUCUCUCAUGAAUAGAUACAGCAAUAAAUAGAUUGGUCUAAAGCUCUUUUUACA